rnacentral:rRNA from 1 species
AUCGAUGAAGAACGCAGCGAAAUGCGAUAAGUAAUGUGAAUUGCAGAAUUCAGUGAAUCAUCGAAUCUUUGAACGCACAUUGCGCCCUCUGGUAUUCCGGGGGGCAUGCCUGUUCGAGCGUCAUUACAACCCUCAAGCUCUGCUUGGUAUUGGGCGUCACCACUCGUGGUGUGCCUUAAAAUCAGUGGCGGUGCCAUUCGGCUUCAAGCGUAGUAAUUCUUCUCGCUUCUGGAGUCCGGGUGUGUGCUUGCCAGCAACCCCCAAUUUUUAUAAGGUUGACCUCGGAUCAGGUAGGGAUACCCGCUGAACUUAAGCAUAUCAAUAAGCGGAGGAAAAGAAACCAACAGGGAUUGCCUCAGUAACGGCGAGUGAAGCGGCAACAGCUCAAAUUUGAAAUCUGGCCUCACGGUCCGAGUUGUAAUUUGUAGAGGAUGUUUCGAGUGUGGUCCGGUCUAAGUUCCUUGGAACAGGACGUCAUAGAGGGUGAGAAUCCCGUAUGCGACUGGGUGCCUAAUCUCAUGUGAAACUCCUUCGACGAGUCGAGUUGUUUGGGAAUGCAGCUCAAAAUGGGUGGUAAAUUUCAUCUAAAGCUAAAUACUGGCCAGAGACCGAUAGCGCACAAGUAGAGUGAUCGAAAGAUGAAAAGCACUUUGGAAAGAGAGUUAAACAGUACGUGAAAUUGUUGAAAGGGAAGCGCUUGCAACCAGACUUGCACGCAGUYGAUCAUCCGRUGUUCUCACCGGUGCACUCGAUUGUGUUCAGGCCAGCAUCGGUUUUGGUGGUGGGAUAAAGGCCUUGGGAAUGUAGCUUCUUUCGGGGAGUGUUAUAGCCCUCGGUGCAAUGCCGCCUACUGGGACCGAGGACCGCGCUUCGGCUAGGAUGCUGGCGUAAUGGUUGUAAGCGACCCGUCUUGAAACACGG